rnacentral:misc_RNA from 1 species
AGACAGAGGGCGAGGAAGGUGAAGAAGGCGGGGAGGAAGACGCAGGUCAGGAAGAGGGAGGGGAGGAGUAGCUCUCUCCCCCCACCCCUCAUAUCCUGUUAGCCUAGGUGUCAACAGAUUAACGCAAUAGAAAAAAUAAACCAUCUUCAAAGAGGCGACAUCCCCAUGAACAGCCAAAAUGACUUGAUUGACUGAUAGCAGUAGAGAGAGGAUAUAGAUUCUUGUAACUCUAAUGACUAUGUGUAACUGCGUUCACUUGUUUUUAAUCUCUUGAUAUCCUAGGCUAUUCAUUUCUUUAGCUUUGUAAAUUUUUUUGUUUUUAUUUAUGAAAAAGUAAAAAUGUUAAUAUUGCCAUGUAUUGUUUCAAAGGAUUUCUUUCGCAUGUUGUUUCUGAAGUCCUUUGAAAUAAUUGUAUAAGAAACAAUAGUCUUGAUAUUGAACAUACCCCAGAAGGAACGGAAAAGAAGAAUGACUGAUUUUUUGUGGAGGAAGUAGUUCCAAUGAUUUAAAGUAAACUGUCAACAAUUGUUCAGUAUUUCGGGUGGAGUAAACAAAAUGGAGGGUUUUUCAUUGAGAUCAUCUUCUUCCACUGAAGACAGUUUAGGUGAUAGGCAGCAGUCUAUUGCUUUAUAUAUCUAUCAAUGUAUGCAUCCAAGACUAUGUGUGAUAUGACUAGUCCUUAUAGACACAGUAAAUAAAGUUGGCCAAAUCCUU